UGCACCCUGCUCAAUGGGGUGCUAAAGAAGGAAAUAGCUGGAGAACUAAUAAUGACAUUUCUGAUACAUGGGAAAGUAUGCUCUCUAGAGCAGACAUGAAUGAAGUUUAUGCUGAUUUUGCCAGACCUGGUGGCUGGAAUGAUCCCGACAUGUUAGAAGUGGGGAAUGGAGGAAUGAUAAAAGAUGAAUAUGUAGUCCAUUUUAGCAUAUGGGCCAUUUCUAAGGCACCAUAAACGUUUAAUUUGCUAG